CGGUAAUACGAAGGGACCUAGCGUAGUUCGGAAUUACUGGGCUUAAAGAGCUCGUAGGUGGUUAAGAAAGUUGGUGGUGAAAUCCCAAGGCUUAACCUUGGAACUGCCACCAAAACUUUUUAACUAGAGUAUGAUAGAGGUAAGUGGAAUUUCUAGUGUAGAGGUGAAAUUCGUAGAUAUUAGAAAGAACACCAAUUGCGAAGGCAACUUUCUGGAUCAUUACUGACACUGAGGAGCGAAAGCAUGGGUAGCGAAGAGGAUUAGAUACCCUCGUAGUCCAUGCCGUAAACGAUGUGUGCUAGACGUUGGAAAUUUAAUUUUCAGUGUCGCAGCAAAAGCAUUAAGCACACCGCCUGGGGAGUACGACCGCAAGGUUAAAACUCAAAUGAAUUGACGGGGACCCGCACAAGCAGUGGAGCAUGUGGUUUAAUUCGAAGAUACGCGCAGAACCUUACCAACACUUGACAUGUUCGUCGCGAACCUAAGAAAUUAGGUUCUUCAUUCAGUUGGACGAAACACAGGUGCUGCAUGGCUGUCGUCAGCUCGUGUCGUGAGAUGUUGGGUUAAGUCCCGCAACGAGCGCAACCCUUACUUUUAGUUGCCACCAUUAAGUUGAGCACUCUAAAAGAACUGCCAGUGAUAAGCUGGAGGAAUUGGCGGGGGAGCACGGUCAAG
rnacentral:rRNA from 1 species